GGCUGUUGUGGGGGUGGAGUUUAGACAGAAUGCUAAGAAUAUCUAGCAGCUUCCAGAACACAUGCCUGAAGGGGUCUAAGUGUUACCACACAAAAGAAAAUUGAGCUAAGAAACACCCAUUCAGAGGGGUAACAGCACAGGGUUAGAGCAUUUGAUUGGACAUCACAGGUGCUGGGAUAUAGACUGCCUGGAAGAAAGGAGGUUCCCAGAUCAGUGCUUUGGUCAGCUCACAUUGGAGGAAGCUUCUUCUUGCAGCAGAUGGAAGUUAACACGGAGACCCACAAAUGGGCAGUGUACAGAGGGUGAGAGACUGUGCAGCACUCAGUAGUAAAUGGGAUCCCUUCCUCAAGCCCCUACACCCAAGGUCAGAGUGCUGUGCUGAAGAGGAGGCAGAAAGGCUGUAAGAGCCAAAGCUGGUGGACAAUCCAAGGAAGCAGUGUCACCAGUUUUGUGUUUCAUUUUGCCUUCAGAUCUGCAAAAGAGUGAAAAGUUGUAACCAUAGUAAAGA